CCUACGGGGGGCAGCAGUGGGGAAUAUUGGGCAAUGGGCGAAAGCCUGACCCAGCAACGCCGCGUGAAGGAAGAAGGCUUUCGGGUUGUAAACUUCUUUUGACAGGGAAGAGCAGAAGACGGUACCUGUCGAAUAAGCCACGGCUAACUACGUGCCAGCAGACGCGGUAAUACGUAGGUGGCAAGCGUUUUCCGGAUGUACUGGGUGAAAAGGGCGUGUAGCCGGGCUGACAGUUAAGAUGUGAAAUCCGGGGGCUCAACCCCCGAACUGAUUUUGAAACUGUUGGUCUUGAGUAUCGGAGGGGCAGGCGGAAUUCCUAGUGUAGCGGUGAAAUGCGUAGAUAUUAGGAGGAACACCAGUGGCGAAGGCGGCCUGCUGGACGACAACUGACGGUUAGGCGCGAAAGCGUGGGGAGCAAACAGGAUUAGAUACCCGUGUAGUC
rnacentral:rRNA from 1 species